rnacentral:rRNA from 1 species
GGAAUUGUUCGCAAUGGGCGCAAGCCUGACGACGCAACGCCGCGUGGAGGAUGAAGAUCUUCGGGUCGUACACUCCUUUCGAUCGAGACGAAUAGCCUUUGGGUUAAUAGCCCGAGGGAAUGACGGUACCGAGAGAAGAAGCCCCGGCUAACUCCGUGCCAGCAGCCGCGGUAAUACGGGGGGGGCAAGCGUUGUUCGGAAUUACUGGGCGUAAAGGGCUCGUAGGUGGCCAACUAAGUCAACCGUGAAAUCCCUCGGCUUAACCGGGGAACUGCGUUUGAUACUGGAUGGCUUGAGUUUGGGAGAGGGAUGCGGAAUUCCAGGUGUAGCGGUGAAAUGCGUAGAUAUCCGGAGGAACACCGGUGGCGAAGGCGGCAUCCUGGACCAAUACUGACACUGAGGAGCGAAAGCCAGGGGAGCAAAC